GUUUUAGAGUUGAGGAACUUUGAACCGCAACUCUGCUGUAUCCACACCGCGACCGGCGCGCGCGCUAAAGCAGUCGUAUAAACUCGGCAGUUUCCGGAAAACCGAAGCAGCUAACGCUGCUGAAAAAAACAGCUAAAACCAGCCUAAGCUGGUUGGCUGGUCUUAGCUGGUCUAUCAGCCUGGUCAUAGCUGGUAGAGCAGGCUGGUUUUAGAGGGGUUUUGGCCACUUUUUUUUUUUUUUUUUAGCUGGUUAGGCUGGUCUUAGCUGGUCAGUGUUGGUCAGGCUGGUCUUAGCUGGUCAGUGUUGGUCAGGCUGGUCUUAGAUGGUCAGUGUUGGUCAGGCUGGUCUUAGCUGGUCAGUGUUGGUCAGGCUGGUCUUAGAUGGUCAGUGUUGGUCAGGCUGGUCUUAGCUGGUCAGUGUUGGUCAGGCUGGUCUUAGCUGGUCAUAGUUAAUCAGACUUAACUGCUGAUGUUGGCUGGGUAACAUAUAAGACUAAUUCAUUGUAUUUUUAAAAAAAAUGCUAAAUAUUCACUGAUUGAUCUGAUUGACAGUCCGUUUGAUUAACUGAUCACAUGAUGUCUUUUAUUUUUCCUGUCACUGGGUGUUGCGAAGUAUACUUUAAAUAAUCU
ensembl:lncRNA